rnacentral:rRNA from 1 species
ACGAGUGGCGGACGGGUGAGUAAUGUCUGGGAAACUGCCCGAUGGAGGGGGAUAACUACUGGAAACGGUAGCUAAUACCGCAUAACGUCUACGGACCAAAGCGGGGGACCCCCGGGCCUCGCGCCAUCAGAUGAACCCAUAUGGGAUUAGCUUGUAGGUAAGGUAACGGCUUACCUAGGCGACGAUCCCUAGCUGGUCUGAGAGGAUGACCAGCCACACUGGAACUGAGACACGGUCCAG